rnacentral:rRNA from 1 species
ACGGAAGGCAGCAGUGAGGAAUAUUGGUCAAUGGACGGAAGUCUGAACCAGCCAUGCCGCGUGAGGGACGAAUGCCCUAUGGGUUGUAAACCUCUUUUGCCGGGGAGUAAUAAGGGCCGUGCGCGGCCUGAUGAGAGUACCCGGCGAAUAAGCAUCGGCUAACUCCGUGCCAGCAGCCGCGGUAAUACGGAGGAUGCAAGCGUUAUCCGGAUUUAUUGGGUUUAAAGGGUGCGUAGGCGGACGCGUAAGUCAGCGGUGAAAUAUCCCGGCUCAACCGCGAGGCUGCCGUUGAAACUGCGCGACUAGAGUCCGAACGGCGUCGGCGGAAUAUGUAAUGUAGCGGUGAAAUGCAUAGAUAUUACAGAGAACACCGAUCGCGAAGGCAGCUGGCGAGGACGGCACUGACGCUGAGGCACGAAGGCGUGGGGAUCAAACAGGAUUAGAUACCCUGGUA